CUGUGAGCGUGCGGGCGAUACGGGCAGACUUGAGUACUGCAGGGGAGACUGGAAUUCCUGGUGUAGCGGUGGAAUGCGCAGAUAUCAGGAGGAACACCGGUGGCGAAGGCGGGUCUCUGGGCAGUAACUGACGCUGAGGAGCGAAAGCGUGGGGAGCGAACAGGAUUAGAUACCCUGGUAGUCCACGCCGUAAACGGUGGGUACUAGGUGUGGGUUUCCUUCCUUGGGAUCCGUGCCGUAGCUAACGCAUUAAGUACCCCGCCUGGGGAGUACGGCCGCAAGGCUAAAACUCAAAGAAAUUGACGGGGGCCCGCACAAGCGGCGGAGCAUGUGGAUUAAUUCGAUGCAACGCGAAGAACCUUACCUGGGUUUGACAUGCACAGGACGCCGGCAGAGAUGUCGGUUCCCUUGUGGCCUGUGUGCAGGUGGUGCAUGGCUGUCGUCAGCUCGUGUCGUGAGAUGUUGGGUUAAGUCCCGCAACGAGCGCAACCCUUGUCUCAUGUUGCCAGCGGGUAAUGCCGGGGACUCGUGAGAGACUGCCGGGGUCAACUCGGAGGAAGGUGGGGAUGACGUCAAGUCAUCAUGCCCCUUAUGUCCAGGGCUUCACACAUGCUACAAUGGCCGGUACAAAGGGCUGCGAUGCCGCGAGGUUAAGCGAAUCCUUUUAAAGCCGGUCUCAGUUCGGAUCGGGGUCUGCAA
rnacentral:rRNA from 1 species